rnacentral:lncRNA from 10 species
UUGAGACCCAGCGUCUCUAGAUCUCGUAUUUGAAUUUGUGGCGCUUGGUGUCCGCGAGUUGCCGAAUGAAGCUGAGCGUCUCAGUGGAACCAGGGAUCUCAGGGAUACAGAUAAGCUGAUUCUAAAACUUACAAGAAUGGCAAAGAAACAAGAAGAGCUUAAACUGCAAUCAUCAACAGAGAAGCUUUCUGCAACCAAAGUGAAGACUGAAGCCUUAGGCUAUGGCAGAAGUUGGGCGCCUGAAGUACACGUGGAAAUAUGCCAACUGAACAUUGGACUACCACGUCAAGGGUCUCCUACCCCUGGGCCAUGGAUCAAUACCAGUCUGUGACCUGUUAGGAACCGGUAGCAGGAGCGCCUGCCCCUGGCUCAGCGCCCGGUGCCAACAGAACACCUUUCAGGAUCCACAGCAACGCAGACAACAAUCCCGGCCUCUGCUUGGAACGGAACAGUGU